CCUACGGGAGGCUGCAGUGGGGGAUAUUGCGCAAUGGGCGAAAGCCUGACGCAGCGACGCCGCGUGGGUGAUGAAGGCCUUCGGGUCGUAAAGCCCUGUCGAGGGGGACGAAACGGCUCCGACCUAAUACGUCGGGGCUCUGACGGUACCCCUAAAGGAAGCACCGGCUAACUCCGUGCCAGCAGCCGCGGUAAUACGGAGGGUGCGAGCGUUGUUCGGAAUCACUGGGCGUAAAGCGCGUGUAGGCGGUCUGUUAAGUCUGAUGUGAAAGCCCG
rnacentral:rRNA from 1 species